UACGUAGGGUGCAAGCGUUGUCCGGAAUUAUUGGGCGUAAAGAGCUCGUAGGCGGUCUGUCGCAUCUGCUGUGAAAACUCAGGGCUUAACCCUGAGCUUGCAGUGGGUACGGGCAGACUAGAGUGCGGUAGGGGAGACUGGAAUUCCUGGUGUAGCGGUGAAAUGCGCAGAUAUCAGGAGGAACACCGGUGGCGAAGGCGGGUCUCUGGGCCGUAACUGACGC
rnacentral:rRNA from 1 species